CAGUAGCCACGGUAAAACGGAGGAUCCAAGCGUUAUCCGGAAUUAUUGGGUUUAAAGGGUGCGUAGGCGGCAUGCUAAGUCAGGGGUGAAAGACGGUGGCUCAACCAUCGCAGUGCCUUUGAUACUGGUGUGCUUGAAUGUACAUAAGGUAGGCGGAAUGAGACAAGUAGCGGUGAAAUGCAUAGAUAUGUCUCAGAACACCAAUUGCGAAGGCAGCUUACUAAGGUAUGAUUGACGCUGAUGCACGAAAGCGUGGGGAUCAAACAGGAUUAGAUACCCCCGUAGUCCCUGUCUCUUAUAC
rnacentral:rRNA from 1 species